GGCACUGUGGUUUAGUGGUAGUACGUUUGUCUUGCACCUCCAGGGUUGGGGGUUCGAUUCCUGCCUCUGGCC